GUAACUCUGGGUCCAGGAAAUGAGGUGUUCUAACCUCUGCAGGCAUGCCCACUCAUGUAUUCAUGUGUAUAAACACACACAGACACACUUAAAAAUAAUAGAAGUAAAUCUUUAAAAAUAGAGUGAGAAAUUACCUUGAAACUACCCUCUAUGGGAUACAUUCAUGCUUCCCAUCCCUAAGCAGGGCUCUUCUCAGCAUUAGGAACCACACUCUGGGAUAUAUGGAUGUUUUCCAUACCUAGCCAGGGCUCUUCUCAGCAUUAGGGAGACAAUACUAUAAGGUUGUGACUUAACCACAUGAUCAUGCUAAUUAAAGUUCUUUCCUGUCUUGUCUCACAUACAGUGGGUGUCCAAAUGAGAAUGGUGGUCCAGCUCCUCUGGAGCUUCUAACCAAAUGUUGGUUAGAAGACUGAAAGCACAAAGGGAACAAGCAAGGGAUUCUGGAGGAAGACUGUUCCUGAUACCCAAAUCAGGAGGGGGGACGUGGCGCUAUUGUGAGAGAGGCAUCUAUUUGGAACCUGAGUGUGGCCCCUAGGAAUGAAGACCAAUCUCUGUUCAAGAGACCACUAGAAAAAUUGGCCUCAUUUUUUCUGUGACAACAAGAAGCUGAGUUCGGCCAACAACCUGCAGAAGUUUAGAAGUGAUCACUGAGCUCCAGGGAAAAGGAAGAAAGCUACCAAGACAAAUAAGUUUGGUGUAAAGUGGUCUCUGGUUCAGUGGCCAUGGAGAAGAGGAAUGAGCUAGCACUGAGUACUCAUUCAUCCUUCAUAAGAGAAUUUCAACUGUACGGUGCCACGCGAAGCAUCUUUUUAGCACCGUGAAAGCUAUGUAGUAGAGACGAAGCUUCCAGCUCUGGUCCAUCUUGAUUCUUCCAUGUCCUGUUUAAGUAUUUAUUUAUCCUCAUCUGCCUGGCAUUCCUGAAGUCUCCUUACUACAGUAAAGCAAACAAAUUAGCAUUUUAUAAAAUAUUUUCUAGAGGUAAGAGUUUUGUAACCCCAAAAUAAAUGUCCCUUUACCC